rnacentral:rRNA from 1 species
GUAGGGUGCAAGCGUUAAUCGGAAUUACUGGGCGUAAAGCGUGCGCAGGCGGCUUUGCAAGACAGAUGUGAAAUCCCCGGGCUUAACCUGGGAACUGCAUUUGUGACUGCAUGGCUGGAGUGCGGCAGAGGGGGAUGGAAUUCCGCGUGUAGCAGUGAAAUGCGUAGAUAUGCGGAGGAACACCGAUGGCGAAGGCAAUCCCCUGGGCCUGCACUGACGCUCAUGCACGAAAGCGUGGGGAGCAAACAGGAUUAGAUACCCUGGUAGUCCACGCCCUAAACGAUGUCAACUGGUUGUUGGACGGCUUGCUGUUCAGUAACGAAGCUAACGCGUGAAGUUGACCGCCUGGGGAGUACGGCCGCAA